AAGCCAUGCAUGUCUAAGUAUAAACAAAUUUGUACCGUGAAACUGCGAAUGGCUCAUUAAAUCAGUUAUCGUUUAUUUGAUGGUACCUUACUACUUGGAUAACCGUGGUAAUUCUAGAGCUAAUACAUGCUAAAAACCUCGACUUCGGAAGGGGUGUAUUUAUUAGAUAAAAAACCAAUGCUCUUCGGGGCUCCUUGGUGAUUCAUAAUAACUUAACGAAUCGCAUGGCCUUGUGCCGGCGAUGGUUCAUUCAAAUUUCUGCCCUACCAACUUUCGAUGGUGGAGUAGUGGUCUACCAUGGUUU
rnacentral:rRNA from 1 species